rnacentral:tRNA from 1 species
GGGACUGUAGCUCAGUGGUAGAGCGAGCGACUCAUAAUCGCCUGGUCACAGGUUCGAAUCCUGUCAGUCCCA